rnacentral:rRNA from 1 species
AGAACGAACGCUGGCGGUAUGCCUAACACAUGCAAGUCGAACGCGAAAGGGAUCUUCGGAUCCCGAGUAGAGUGGCGCACGGGUGAGUAACACGUGGAUAACCUGCCCUAUGAUCUGGGAUAACACUUCGAAAGGGGUGCUAAUACCGGAUAAGCCCACGAUCUCUUUGGAGUUUGUGGGAAAAGAUUUAUCGUCAUAGGAUGGGUCCUCGGUCCAUUAGCUAGUUGGUGGGGUAAUGGCCUACCAAGGCUACGAUGGAUAGCUGGUCUGAGAGGAUGAUCAGCCACACUGGAACUGAGACACGGUCCAGACUCCUACGGGAGGCAGCAGUGGGGAAUUUUGCGCAAUGGACGAAAGUCUGACGCAGCAAUACCGCGUGAAGGAUGAAGGCCCUUGGGUCGUAAACUUCUGUCAGUGGGGAAGAAAUGCCCGUAAGGGAGAUGACGGUACCCACAAAGGAAGCACCGGCUAACUCCGUGCCAGCAGCCGCGGUAAUACGGAGGGUGCAAGCGUUGUUCGGAAUUAUUGGGCGUAAAGAGCAUGUAGGCGGUUUGUUAAGUCUGAUGUGAAAGCCCGGGGCUCAACCCCGGAAGUGCAUUGGAUACUGGCAAACUUGAGUAUGGGAGAGGAAAGUGGAAUUCCGAGUGUAGGAGUGAAAUCCGUAGAUAUUCGGAGGAACACCAGUGGCGAAGGCGGCUUUCUGGACCAAUACUGACGCUGAGAUGCGAAAGCGUGGGGAGCGAACAGGAUUAGAUACCCUGGUAGUCCACGCCGUAAACGAUGGGCACUAGGUGUUGCGGGUAACCACUCCUGCAGUGCCGCAGCUAACGCAUUAAGUGCCCCGCCUGGGGAGUACGGCCGCAAGGCUA